rnacentral:rRNA from 1 species
UUAUUGAUGACGAGUGGCGGACGGGUGAGUAACGCGUAGGAACCUGCCUAGAAGAGGGGGAUAACUAGAGGAAACUCUAGCUAAUACCGCAUAAACUCGAGAGAGGAAAGCAGCCAGCAAUGGUUGCGCUUUUAGAGGGGCCUGCGUCCGAUUAGUUUGUUGGUGGGGUAACGGCCUACCAAGGCGAUGAUCGGUAACUGGUCUGAGAGGACGGCCAGUCACACUGGGACUGAGACACGGCCCAGACUCC